rnacentral:rRNA from 1 species
GUGAGGAAUAUUGGUCAAUGGGCGAGAGCCUGAACCAGCCAAGUAGCGUGAAGGAUGACGGCCCUACGGGUUGUAAACUUCUUUUGUGCGGGAAUAAAGGAGCCUACGUGUAGGCUUUUGCAUGUACCGUAACGAAUAAGCAUCGGCUAACUCCGUGCCAGCAGCCGCGGUAAUACGGAGGAUGCGAGCGUUAUCCGGAUUUAUUGGGUUUAAAGGGAGCGCAGACGGGUCGUUAAGUCAGCUGUGAAAGUUUGGGGCUCAACCUUAAAAUUGCAGUUGAUACUGGCGUCCUUGAGUGCGGUUGAGGUGUGCGGAAUUCGUGGUGUAGCGGUGAAAUGCUUAGAUAUCACGAAGAACCCCGAUUGCGAAGGCAGCCUGCUAAGCCGCCACUGACGUUGAGGCUCGAAAGUGCGGGUAUCAAACAGGAUUAGAAACCCGUGUAGUCC